AAGGACAGGGGCCAACGUGCAAAUGGAAGAUCCGAUCGGGGGAAUCAAAUCCCUAGCGCUCUCAAUCCCCAAAAUCGGGCCUGGCAUCACAUCUCUCUCCCUCACCCUUCCUUCUCCACCUCCGGCCGCCGCCACGGCCAGGCCAGCGUGGUGGUGCGCCUCCGCACCAUAAGCACACCCACCACAAACAUCCACCACUCACCACCAACUUCACCACCAACGCCCAUCUCGCCUGCCGUACCCGCGCGCCUCCACCUGCUGCUGAUUCUCCUUGCUGCUCCCUUCGCCUACCUCGUUGUUGUUCUUCUUCCCGACGUCCUCCUUGCUGCCCUUCCGCUUCUCCUCUGCUUCCCCUCUCCUAGCGCCUCACCCUGCUGCUUCUUCUUCCCCAAACUUUGCUGCCGCUCCUUCCCUCACCUCACAUCCCUGCUGCUGCACUUCUUCUCUCCCAACGCUACUGCUGCUACUGCGCUCUGCUGCUUCCUCUUGCUAACCUGCUGCCACUUCUUCUCUCCUAUCUUCUUCUCCUAUAACCCUUCUGCUACUCCUUCCCUCCUCCUUGUUGCUGCUCUCUCCCUCUCCUAGCGCUGCUGCUUCUCUUCUAUUCAACGCCUGCUGCUGUUCUUCUUCUUGCACCACUGUUGCUGCUCUCUUCUUCCCCUCAACCUCCUGAUGCAGCCUCUUCUUCUUCACUAAACCUCUCCUUUUCUGUACUGCUGAAGCUUACUGCUGCUGCUCUCUCUCUAAAGUUUAUGUAAUUUAAGAUGUUUAGCACAUGUAAUAUUCAGAUUUUAUAAGAGCUUGCAACUUUAUUAUUGUUCAGUUUUUAUCUGUAAAAUUCUAUGUUCCGAAUAGUGUAUGUCUUGUUGCUUUGGAAAUUAACUGAUAUAUGACAUGUUGUUGCUUUGGUAACUAGUGCUCUGUCAGCUUAUAUGUGUGUUCACCCUGUAUUUCUUCUCGAUGUACUCGUUAAUUUUUACUAGUAAUUUUUAGUUGUUAAAUACUGUUGUGUUGAUCCGUGGUACUAGUCUUGUGAUUUGUAUAAUCUCAUCCGUAUAUGCUUAGUCACUCGUGCACUGCUCUUAUUUCGAAGAAACUUGUUCAGUUUUGUAGUAUAUGUUUUAGCUCCAGUACUUGUGUUAAAAAGGUCUGUGAUAUAAAUGCCUCUUCCUUCCCUUAUAUACGUCUGCUAGAUAUAUUUGUGAUCAUCUCUUGUUAUUUUCUUUUGUCGAUGACGAUGUCCUGUGCCAGUAUUUAGUUUCUAAAAUAAUAGCAAAAUACCAAAAAGACAGUAAGAUAAUCUCAACCUCCCCUUGCUUAUUUUCAUUUUCUUUGUCGUCAACCUUGUUUAGUUUAGGUUUUAUUUUCUGCAACUGUCUCUCAAAAUUGUGUUACCUAGAUUUAGCCGAGCACAGUCGUCGUUGCCUAGUCCCUGUGGGAAACAUGACACUCGCGGUUCGGGUGAAAUAUCCCGCUGUACUUGUCAAUAUGAUCCAGGUGAUGCUUUUUCGCCGGAUCCUUCCUUGCCAAAACCGGACUUGCAAUUUGUGGGGGUUCCAUCUGGCCAAGCACCAGACCUUGCAACAAUUCUUCGGCGUCACACAUGAAGGCAUCUGAAAGGUGCUUUUUAAGGCCACUGAGAUGUGGCCAAAGAUGACCGAGGAUCGUGGGUACAACCUGACCCAUCCUGCCAGUUCGGGCUGGACAAGUAAGGCGGAGCGGAUCCAAUGUUCGGCUCCGUUGCCGGAAAACCCAGCAAUCCCACUUCUGACGAAGAUGCUAAUUCCGGCACCCUACCAGGCGCCAGAGAAGAAGGGCCCGGCGGGAAGAAGCGGCCUCCGUCGUAAAGGUACUUCGGACAUGAUGUCUGAAGAUGCCGAAACCCACUCCUCCCCCGCCAACGAGGACGACGAGGGGGAGCAAGAAAGCAACUCUCCCCCUGAGGGGGGAAGAAGAAGAGGAUGGCCGCCACAGAUCUGGAGGCAGAGACGUCCAAGAAGGGGAAGGUCUCCCUCGCAGAUAACUCCGUGUUGGACACUGACAGCAGCUCCGAGUGGUGCCCCAGGGAAAAGCCCCUGGCCGAAUCUCCGGCCCACGCCCUCCCCCAGCGAUCCUCAUCUUUGGGGAAUUCGCUAGAUCCAAAGGUGAUGGACAGUGGGUCACUUCCGGUGGCCACCUAUCCCAAGGCCACGGACGAUGCCGAGGUGUUGUCCUGAAGGACCUUCCCGGGCUAGGGAGAGGUACAGGAGGCCGUCAGGGUGGCGCCAGAGGGUGAUACCUCGGCCGUCGGACACAUGGGGGAGCAAAUCCCCCGGAGACUGGUGAUGGGGGCUGAUACGUCUCCAACGUAUCUAUAAUUUUUGAUUGCUCCAUGCUCUAUUAUCUAUUGUUUUGGACA